AGGCAAUUUGAGGAGACCAGGUGUAUCCAGCCUGCAUAGAGCAGCCAAAUGAAACUUUAGCAUCCACCCAGGAUGUGGAUAAUCAAAUGCUUCACAAUGAUGAAAGAUUCUAUUCGCCUGAACAGAAGUUAGAUGAGGAGCCAGAAUAUACCUAUACCUCUCCCCACCCACUUUUGGAGAUCAGUAGCUCCUCAUCCAGCUGUAAGUAGCUUAAGAAUAUUCUACUUUCCAAUCUUCCAACCACUACGUUCUUCUCCCUUCACACACUUUAUCAGUUAUAACCUCCCACAUUAUUCUUUGCAGACUGUAGUACUUUGCGGCCAACAUUAUAU